rnacentral:lncRNA from 1 species
GGCGGCAGCCCUGGCCUCUGCGGAGAGACGUGGCUCCCUGGGCCUGAGACGGCACAUUCCUGGUCCCCUCACCUUCCCCACUGGCAGCCUGAGUCCUGGAGACUGAAUUACCCCAGGGUGACUGAGUUGGGGAGGAACUAAAGUAAUUCCCAUCCACCCGAGGCAGCCACAGUCCUGUGACAGCAGCACCUUCUCCCAACCCGAACACCGCCCUUCUCCCUCCUCCUGGCCACCGAAUCAGCUGCUGCACCCAGCCCAGGUGAGGGACCCGAACACCGCCCUUCUCCCUCCUCCUGGCCACUGAAUCAGCUGCUGUACCCAGCCCGUAUGAGGGCUGCUGAUUUUGGUUUGUGGAGGCAGAAACCCAGGCCAGGCUUUCCAAACUCAGUUCUGUCCAAAUUGUACCCUGGCAUUUAUCUCUGGAGACAGUCCUUUCUGAUCUGCACCAACCCAAAGACUCGUGUGGAAAUUAUACUGAAUAAAACCCACUGGCCAGUUUCCAGGUUUGUAGAUUGCAGUCUUCACCCGUAAAGUAUCUUCUCCGAUUUAGUAAAAAUCAUUCUUUACUUUUGAUUCCAACCCAAUGUCUCCAAAGAGACUGUGGCACAAAACAAAGUAUAAGUUUUUAUCUCUUUAAAGUUGAGAAAAUGUUACCCUAAUCUAAUGUAUAAAAAAUGCACAAAAAAUUAUCCGUCUUCCUGCAAAAAAGAAUCAAAUUUUACAAUUCCAUCAUUAAAAACCUGUCAUGAAAACCAUCAAUGAAAAGGCCACCAAGUCACCAUGGCUGUGCUAUGAUCCACUGUGGCUCCGGGACGGCGGCUGUGACAGAGGAGGGAGAGGCGCGGCCCCUGCCUGAGCCCCAGCUGUGCAGCCAGAGGCAGUCGCCUGACUUCUCUGGGCUCUGCUGGCUGCAUCAAUAAAGCGACAUGUUCAUCUUCAAGGGGCUGUUGUGAGGGCGACACGAAAUAAGCUGAUAAAAGUCCUACCCAGCGUCUGACAUGUUACAUUUACUCCACAGAUAUUUGUUUGCAAAAUCAGAGCCAAUGGUUUAGUUUCUUCAUAGUAAAUUAAAAAUACAUAUAUAGUCAUAAGACACAAGUUCGAUCAUAAGUCACUCGUCCAUGGAGAACAUGGCUCUGGUGUAUUUGAGCAAGUGGUCUUCAACGGAGAAUUAUUUCACAAUGACAGGCUCAAUUCUUAGGCCUAUGUAGUUCCACAUUUCAAAGGAAGCACGGUGCGGACAGAAGCCCAGGGCCGCGGACCGAGUCCGGCCACGCGCCAGCAUCCUUCGUGCUCAGGCUGCACCUGCUCUUGACGCGGGGCGGUUACUCUCCGGGUCCCUCUGCCAAUUCUGGGAAGUGAAAGCGUUUACUGACUUCACUCCAUUACAUAAAAACACCCUAGGUCCCGAACUUCUGUGAGUACUUUUUGCCCUGUGGGAGGCUGACGCAAGUGGAUCACUUGAGAUCAGGAGUUUGACACCAGCCUGGCCAACAUGGCGAAACCCCAUCUCUACUAAGAAUACAAAAAUUAGCCGGGCGUGGUGGUGCACACCUGUAAUCCCAGCUACUCGGGAGGCAAAGACAGGAGAAUUGCUUGAACCCAGGAGGCAGAGGUUGCAGUGAGCCGAGAUCACGCCACUGCACUCCAGCUUGGGCGACAGAGCAAGAUUCCAUCUCAAAAAAAAAAAAAAAGAAAAGAAAAGAAAAAG